rnacentral:snRNA from 1 species
GUACUUGCUUCAGUAGCACAGAUACUAAAAUUGAGUACAGAGAAGAUCAGAAUGGCCCUGUGAAAGGAGGACAUGUAACACUGCAAUGUGCCGUGUUUAA